UAAAUAACAAUGCAGGCCUUUGGGUUUUGCAAUUGGAAUGAGAACAAUUUAAAUCCCUUAACGAGUAACAAUUGGAGGGCAAGUCUGGUGCCAGCAGCCGCGGUAAUUCCAGCUCCAAUAGCGUAUAUUAAAGUUGCUGCAGUUAAAAAGCUCGUAGUUGAACUUUUGGUGAGGCGCUGUGGUUUAGAGAUUCUAGACUGCAGUGCUGAGCCUCUUUUGGGGGAAGCGUCACUUGUGGCGUCGAACCCGUGUUACUGUGAGGAAAUUAGAGUGUUUAAGGCAGGCGAUCGCUUGAAUACAUUAGCAUGGAAUAACAAGAUAGGACUUGGUUCCACUUGUUGGUUUGGGAGCCAGAGUAAUGAUUAAUAGGGCCAGUUGGGGGCAUUAGUAUUCAGCAGUCAGAGGUGAAAUUCUUGGAUUUGCUGAAGACUAACUAGUGCGAAAGCAUUUGCCAAGGAUGUUUUCAUUAAUCAAGAACGAAAGUUAGGGGAUCGAAGACGAUCAGAUACCGUCGUAGUCUUAACUAUAAACGAUGCCGACUCGGGAUCGGCAGGAUUCGUUCGCGAACCUGUCGGCACCGUGUGAGAAAUCAAAGUUUUUGGGUUCUGGGGGAGUAUGGUCGCAAGGCUGAAACUUAAAGGAAUUGACGGAAGGGCACCACCAGGAGUGGAGCCUGCGGCUUAAUUUGACUCAACACGGGAAAACUCACCAGGUCCGGACAUAGUAAGGAUUGACAGAUUGAGAGCUCUUUCUUGAUUCUGUGGGUGGUGGUGCAUGGCCGUUCUUAGUUGGUGGAGUGAUUUGUCUGGUUAAUUCCGAUAACGAACGAGACCUUAACCUGCUAACUAGUGCGCAUUACGUGAGUAGUGCGAAACUUCUUAGAGGGACUGACUAUGUUUAAUAGUCGGAAGUUUGAGGCAAUAACAGGUCUGUGAUGCCCUUAGAUGUUCUGGGCUGCACGCGCGCUACACUGACAAAGGCAGCGAGUAUACCUUGGCCGAGAGGUCUGGGAAAUCUUGUUAAACUUUGUCGUGCUGGGGAUAGAUCAUUGCAAUUAUUGGUCUUGAACGAGGAAUUCCUAGUAAGCGCAAGUCAUCAGCUUGCGUUGAUUACGUCCCUGCCCUUUGUACACACCGCCCGUCGCUACUACCGAUUGAAUGGCUUAGUGAGGC
rnacentral:rRNA from 1 species